rnacentral:tRNA from 1 species
GCCUGCGGUGGCUCAGAUGGAUAGAGCGUCUGCCAUGUAAGCAGGAGUCCCGGGUUCGAGUCCCGGUCGGGGCA